GCUGGGCAUGGUGGCGCACGCCUGUAAUCCCAGCUACUCGGGAGGCUGAGGCAGGAGAAUCACUUGAACCUAGGAGGCAGAAGUUGCAGUGAGCUGAGAUCGCACCACUGCACUUCAGCCUGGGGGACAGAGUGAGACUCUGUCUCCA
rnacentral:SRP_RNA from 1 species